CGCGUAGUAAUCUGCCUAUCAGAGGGGAAUAACAGUGAGAAAUCAUUGCUAAUACCGCAUAUACUAAUUUUAUUGCAUGAUAGAAUUGGGAAAGGAGCAAUCCGCUGACAGAUGGGCUUGCGUCUGAUUAGUUAGUUGGCAGGGUAAAGGCCUACCAAGACGAUGAUCAGUAGCCGGACUGAGAGGUUGAACGGCCACAUUGGGACUGAGAUACGGCCCAGACUCCUACGGGAGGCAGCAG
rnacentral:rRNA from 1 species